rnacentral:rRNA from 1 species
CGGUAGCAGGGAGAAAGCUUGCUUUCUCCGCUGACGAGCGGCGGACGGGUGAGUAAUGUCUGGGGAUCUGCCUGAUGGAGGGGGAUAACUACUGGAAACGGUAGCUAAUACCGCAUAACGUCGCAAGACCAAAGUGGGGGACCUUCGGGCCUCAUGCCAUCAGAUGAACCCAGAUGGGAUUAGCUAGUAGGUGGGGUAAUGGCUCACCUAGGCGACGAUCCCUAGCUGGUCUGAGAGGAUGACCAGCCACACUGGAACUGAGACACGGUCCAGACUCCUACGGGAGGCAGCAGUGGGGAAUAUUGCACAAUGGGCGCAAGCCUGAUGCAGCCAUGCCGCGUGUAUGAAGAAGGCCUUCGGGUUGUAAAGUACUUUCAGUAGGGAGGAAGGUGUGAGCGUUAAUAGCGUUCACAAUUGACGUUA